AGAGCGAACGCUGGCGGCAGGCUUAACACAUGCAAGUCGAGCGCCGUAGCAAUACGGAGCGGCAGACGGGUGAGUAACACGUGGGAACGUACCUCUUGGUUCGGAACAACACAGGGAAACUUGUGCUAAUACCGGAUAAGCCCUUACGGGAAAGAUUUAUCGCCGAGAGGAUCGGCCCGCGUCUGAUUAGCUAGUUGGUGAGGUAACGCUCACCAAGGCGACGAUCAGUAGCUGGUCUGAGAGGAUGAUCAGCCACACUGGGACUGAGACACGGCCAGACUCCGUACGGGAGCAGCAGGUGGGAAUAGUAGGACAAGUCGGGCGACGAAGCCUAGAUCCAGCAUGGCCGCGUGAGU
rnacentral:rRNA from 1 species